rnacentral:sRNA from 1 species
CUUUGUACUGAAGGGUGUGCCACCAGGGGACCUGCCCUCAUCUGACUCUGGGAGGCUUCCCUGAGGAGGUGAUCCUCCAAACCAAGAUGGAAAGAAGAGAACAAAGUUAACGGCAAAGCAAAUUGGAAAGCAUUCUGAGCAAAGGGCCUGACUAGGGAGGAAGGAGAGGUGAGACCAGACAAGCAGUUCUGGCUAUACAGAGCUUUGGAGACGAGGGCUGAGCUCCUGCCAACAUCCUGAGAGCAAGGGAAGCAGGGGAUGUGACCUGCCCUGGUAUGUUGCUGUAAUCUGCCUGAGACUCUGGCUGUUCUGUGGAGAAAUCAUUAGAGCAGCAUGGGUAGACAGGGAGGCAAGUUCAGAAGCUUUGUUGUAGUGGACAGGAUUUGGACAUGAUCUGCAUAUUCUGGUUAGUCUUGGUGCUGGAUGGAAUGAAGAGGGGCUGGAAGAGGGCAGCAUUCAGGAUGACCCUUGAGCUUCUGGUUUGCCUUACUGGUGAGAUGGCAAUGCCAUUUUGAGAGCUGGGGAGCCCUGGAAAGGGGCCGGGUCUGGAAGGUAGACCCCAAAUCCAGUGGUAAAAGCUGAGACAUCCCAAUGCGGAUGGAGAAGAAACAGCUGAAGGCACAGCUCCAGAGCACAAGGUGAGAAAUUAUGGAGACCAGUCCAGGGCUCCAGGGGGCUCCCAAAUGGAAAUAUGGAUCCAGAUGUUGACAGGCUUCUGGGGCAUUUUUAGGCCAGGGGAUGGCUGAGGACAAAGAAAUCAAGCCCAAGGAGCACCCACAUUUGGAGAUUAGAAAAGAGAAGAAGAAUCCUCUGAGAGCACUGAAAAGAAAGAGCUGGGAGGUGUCUCAGCAGAAAGACGGGGUGGUCAGCAGUGGGUGUGUGCAGAGAGGUCAGGAGGACCAGGGCGAUCCCUGAACUCCUCCAGUGUGCACCUGCACAACCUCCAUGGUGCCUCUGGAAUUGGGUAGUAUGGUGGCCCUGCUGAUGAGCACCCCAAGGGGCCAUUGGGGGACCUCUGAGAAUCUCUGCCAGAGCAGUUUGGGUGGCAGUCGAUUAAGGAAAGAAGAAGCAAGAUCCAGGACUUUUAAUCUUAAAAGAGAGAGCAAUGCUGGCAGAUGAACAUUCUGAGGAUAAGGAGCCUGAGUAAUUGAGCGAUUAGGGAUGGAGACAAUUAGUGAUAUGAGCUCCCAAAGGGGCUGGGAUCAACUGUGGAGGUGGAUAAAUUAGUUUGGGCCAAUAAUGGGUAUUUGACUGAAUGGGGCAAAAUUAAAUUAUGUACCUUUUAGAGAGUAACUUGAUCUCCAUGUUCUUUUGGGAGCUUUUAUCUGACCUGCGUACCGACUAUAGUUCUAAUUAGCACCAGUUUUAUCCUGUCUUUUGGCUGGGAUUAUGUCUUAUUAUUUUGUGUGUUUCUCAGCACCUAGCAACAGGUAGUAAGCUCCUUGGGUGCCGAAUCAGUAUUUUCUGCCUUGGAAUCAAAUGCCAGAAGUCAACACUCAAACUUCUUUUGACCAAAAAGAUUCUACGACAAUUAUCCAGAAGUUACAAUGCAAGGAAGAAGAAAUGGAUGUUAAGUCUUGCAUAGCAGGGGUUAUGGGGAGUGGAUCAAGACAAAGUAGAGGUAUCUGCUCCCCUCAUCCUUAUAAGCUCCAUGCCAUUUAUCCAUGCUCACAUUCAUCAUUUCAUACAAGCUUCACAUUUCCCCACAAGAAAUGGAGCAUUUCCCCAUUACCUACUCAUAGAGGAGGAGCUGGAAGCCAGAGAGGGAGAUGCCUUAUUGACACAGAGCACAAGUGGCAGGAGCUGGCUUCAGACCUCAGUCCAUCAGGUGUGGCAGUCCCUCUUCCCAGGACCAGGUGGAGCUGGAGAGAAAGAGGAAAAGGAGUCUGUGAGGUCCAGAUGGAGAUGCUCAGCAGGCCCUUUCCAAAGGUGGGAGGUGAGGUCGGUCUGGAACCCUACUGGAUGCUAAAGUGUCCUGCCAAACUGCUGAUGAAAGCAGGUCCCCACCACAGCCUAUAUACAUUGUGUGUUUGCAUCUAAAACGUCUAUAGUUGUUUGAAAUGUUUAAAUCUUUAACCCAUCUGAGAUGUAUUUUCAUGUAUGGUGUGACACAGAGCUCUAAUUUGCUCUUUUUCCAGAUAGAUAUCCAGUUUGCUAAGCACCAUUUAUUGUUCCAACCCCAUCUUUUCUCUCAAUUCCCUGUCUAGACUCCAGUUCUGUUGAUCUAUUUGUCUAUUUCUGAGCCAAUAGUACAUAUUAAUGAGCAAAGCUUAAUAAAGUGUCUAAUGGCUGGAUAAGAUAAGCACUCCACCCUUCCCCCAAGGCCUUUAUUCCUUUUUUUCUUUUUGAGACAGAGUCUUGCUCUGCCGCCCAGGCUGGGGUUCAGUGGUGCAGUCUCCGCUCACUGCAACCUUCACCUCCCAGGUUCAAGUGAUUAUCCUACCUCAGCCUCCUGAGUAGCUGGGACUACAGGCACGCGCCAUCAUGCCCGGCUAAUUUUUGUAUUUUUUGGUAGAGAUAGGGUUUCACCAUGUUGGCCAGGCUAGUCUCGAACUCCUGACCUCAAGUGAUCCACCCAUCUCGGCCUCCCAAGGUGCUGGGAUUAUAGGCAUGAGCCACCGUGCCCAGCCCCUUACUCUUUUUUAAAAUUGUCUUGGUCAUAUUGCACAUUUACUUUUUCAGGUACGUUUUAUAAUCAGCUUGUCAAAGUUCUGUGAACAAAAUAUCUGUUAGAAGUUUGAGAAGAAUUGCAUUGAAGGGGAAAUUAACAUGUUUAGAAUAUCAGUUCUUCCCAUCUGUGGACAUGGUGUCUGUCUCCUUUUCAUCAGAAUUGUAUUUGUUUUGUUUUGUUUUUAAUGCCUUUUAAUAAAGGUUGGUUGCUUUUGUCGUAAAGAUUUUUCACAGUUCUUAAUAGGUUUGUUCCUGAGAACCUUAUUAGUUUUGUUGCUUUUCUGAGUGGAAAAACUUUCCCGUUUUUCAUUUUGCUUUCCAAAUUUUAAUCAGUUUACUAAUCACUAUGCUUCAUUCACAGACACACACACAGCAAAUGUGCUUUGUCCCUGGGCACACAAAUGAAAACACAGCAGACAUGUAAAUCAGAGCUAAUUGGCUGAAAAUGAAUUAGAAUUUUUGAAUUAAAUUUUAAUUAUACAAGUAAUACAUGAAUACAUUUUCCUUUAAAUAAAAUUAGAGCAUUUCAGGUAAAGAAGUCUCUACUGACCUCCCCAACCUGACCUCAGGCCCCUUCCCCACUUUAGAGGUAACUGCUGUUAGGCAUUUGCUGUUGAUCCAAAAUGUUUUCCUAUGCGCAUUGAAACAUGUCCUGUGUUCUAUUGUUGUUUUUGUUUGCUUGCAUAGAUGUGGUGGUGUACAAACUGGAGGUGCUGCUCCCGAGCUCAGGGCGCCUUACGGGACUCUCCUCAUGUCGUGUGUCACCUGCCGCAGCUGGCUCCACUGCCCCUUUCAGCUGGCUGCUGGCAACCAGAACUGAUUGUGCUAUGAUUUAUUUAGUUGUUGCUUAUUGAUCAACUAUUAAAAGGCUUCCAUCUUGUUUCAAUAAGACAAACCUGUAACAGCAUCCUUGUAUAUACCACUUUUGCUCAUGUACAAGUGUUUUUCUCGGGUAGAUACUUAGAAUUGAUGGGUCAUAGAGUCUACACAUCUUAAAUUCUAAUAGUAACUGCUAAAAUGUUCUUCAAAGUACCUUUCUGAUUUAAUUUCUUGCCAGCAAUAUGUGUGUCCAUUUCUCCAGACCAUCUCCAAGUUUUAUAUUUUAACCAAUCUGGUGGGUGAAAAAUAAUAUCUUGUUUUAGUUUGCAUUUUUCUGAAUUAUCAGGAUGGCUGAAGUCUGUGUGUGUUUCCUAUCCAUUUAUAUUUCCUUCUCUGCAUUACUUGUCCAAAUCUUUUGCCCAUUUCUUUUUUUUUAGGGUAUGUUGUCUUUUCCUUAUUGAUUUUUUAGAAGUUCUUUAUGUAUUUUGUAUACUUUAUGUGUAUUGCAAAUAUUUUCUUUAUUGUGAUUCUUGUCAUUUAAUUGUAUUGUGUCUUUUGAGCAAUCUUAAAUUUUGAUACAGUCAAA